UACGGAGGGUGCGAGCGUUGUUCGGAAUUACUGGGCGUAAAGCGCGCGUAGGCGGAUCGGAAAGUCGGGGGUGAAAUCCCGGGGCUCAACCCCGGAAUGGCCUUCGAAACUCCCGGUCUUGAGUUCGAGAGAGGUGAGUGGAAUUCCGAGUGUAGAGGUGAAAUUCGCAGAUAUUCGCAAGAACACCAGUGGCGAAGGCGGCUUACUGGUCCGGUUCUGACGCUGAGGCGCGAAAGCGUGGGGAGCAAACAGG
rnacentral:rRNA from 1 species